rnacentral:lncRNA from 1 species
ACAUCCUUUCCAUUCAACUGUUGGCCCUCAACAAUAGAAUAAUAACAAAAAAAUAUAAAAAAUAGUUUCGCUUUUAACACCUUUCUUUUCAUGGCCAUAGGUUAAAAUAAAAUUAAAAAAUCAGUUAUAAAAAUAUCCACUAUUUCAGUCAAAAAUAAGGUCAGUCCUCCUGAUGCUCUCUGGUAUACUUUCCCGAAGAUCAAAUCACUCCCAACAGUCCUUGAUUACCAAUCAAGUAGGCAUGAAAGUCUUUGCAAGAAGUGUUUUUAAAGUUGUAUUGUGUACACAGAAGCCCCUUCAGUGACUCAACAGACAAGUGAUUCCUUUCCUUUGUCCACUGGCUUUGCAUCAGUGAAAAAACUCUCUACAUUUGCAUUGUGAGAAGGAAUAGCAAAGAAAAACGGUGCAAUCUUCAGUAGCUCUGAAUGAAAAUCUAUGCUUUUGGACCUUUCAAAAUAUUUGGUCCACUUCUUGUGUGCUUGCAGAUUACUGAACUCUCCAUCACUGUUACACCUUUAUGUGGAUUUCUUCAGGUUGAUGACCUGAUCAAAGCACUUUGCAUCAUCAAUUGGCACCCCCUUUUCUCCCAGGUGUUUUAUACAGGCUUCUAUGUCAUUCCAGUCAGGUGUCUCACUCAGAUCCAUCCACAUGAAAGAGGAGAACUCCUCCAUGGGUGCCAUCCAUUUCUCCAGAUACUCCAGGCAUGAACUGUACAGACCGUGUACUUGAGCACUGAAAUGGUCACAAUUCUUACCAAGUCCAUCCUUGUGCUUUUGUGCCAAUAGUCCCUUAACUUUAAGGGACAUGAAGUUAUUGGUCUUGCGUUCAAGAAGCAUGGUGUGGACUUUGUUCAAAAGGUUCUUCACUUCCACAAUUGAAUUACUCUCCCUUUACAUCUCCUGAAUAUGUGAAUGAAACACACACAUGAGUGAGUGCAUGUGCCAGAGGUUAAUUUCACUGAACUCAUCUUCAAAAAACUUCUUGAUCAAGGAGGGUGUUUUUUCCUGUGACAAAAAUAAUGCUUUCAAGGCUGGAAACAUCUGUAUCAGCCUCUCAAUACCUGGGAAUAAUGACAGCCAUCGCGUCUUGCUGUGAGAAAGGAGACUUCUGUAUUCAACAUCAACAAAUUCACAGUACUCCUUCAGAUUCUCUGUGCGCACAGUGUAGAUGUGAAAGUAUUGACAUACUUUCAAGAUGAUGUUCUCAAUAUCGACAUCUAGUGUGUCUGCCCCGUAAUGAACACAAUUGUUCAAGACGUGUGCUGGGCAGCCCACACCGAUUAAAGACUUGUUCUGCAAUGACUUCUUUAAGUUCGCGAAAACAUUCUUUCCUUCUUCAUCACGCCGGAUUCUCCCGAACAUUGUAUUGCAGUUUUCACCCGUAAAUGCAAUACAUUUGGAAAAAAUCCCAUUAUUUUCCAGUGUUUCUUUGAUGUAUUGCGCGAUCGUAUCAGCUGUCUCGUUUGGAGUGUUUUUAACUUCGACUAAUUUACUUUGCACGCCACCAUUCUUCCAAUCAAAAUACUGAAUAAGCAGAGGGAAUAUUUUCACAGCACCGUGAUUUCUCCCAUCAGUAGAAACACCACAGUAAGAUCCAUAGACGACUCGAUCUCAAUUGCACUCCGCACUGCCCUCACCCAGACACACCAUUGUUCCUUCCAAGCUCGUCACCAAGCUUAGGACCCUGGGACUGAACACCUCCCUCUCCAACUGGAUCCUGGCCUUCCUGAUGGGCUGACCCCAGGUGGUGAGGGUAGACAACAUCACCUCCGCCACGCUGACCCUGAACACAGGGCCCCCACAUGGGUGUGUGCUUAAUUCCCACCUGUGCUCCCUUUUCACCUAUGACUGCAUGGCCACGCACGAUUCCCACAUCAUUAAGUUAGCUGACGACACGACGGUGGUGGGCCUGAUCACCAGCGACGAUGAUAACGUCUACAGGGAGGAGGACAGUGACCACAGUGACCACUGCAGCCCCGUCGGAGCGGGUCGAGUGCUUCAAGUUCUGUGUCCAAAUCACUAAGGACAUAAAAUGGUAUACACACACUCGCACAGUUGUGAAGAAGUCGCGACGAUCGCGCCUCUUCCCCCUCAGGUUGAAAAUGUUUGGCAUGGGCUCUCAAAUCAUCAAAAAGGUCUACAGCUGCACCACUGAGAGCAUCUUGUCUGGCUCCAUCACUGCUUGCUAUGGCAACAGCACCGCCCUCGAUCACGUGGUGCAACAGAGGGUGGUGUGGACAGCACACUAAAUCACUGGGGCCGAGCUCCCUGCCAUCCAGGACAUCUAUAUCAGGCGGUGUGAAAGGAAGGCUCGGAAAAUCAUUAAAGGUCAUCAUCAGUCAAAAUAUUUCUUUUCAUGAAAUUGGAUGAUAUUUGAAGACCAAAGUAUGAAAAAUGACUGUUGCUUCUACAUUGAUAAAGUUUGAACAUAAAGUUACUGUUCACUUACUCCAUUUUAAAUGCUUGGAUACAUUAUUAAGGAUGGUGUUAGCUAGUUACUGGCUAGCUAGGUCUUCAUCUGUGUCUGGUGUAGUUACUGGCUAGCUAGGUCUUCAUCUGUGUCUGGUGUUAGCUAGUUACUGGCUAGCUAGGUCUUCAUCUGUGUCUGGUGUAGUUACUGGCUAGCUAGGUCUUCAUCUGUGUCUGGUGUUAGCUAGUUACUGGCUAGCUAGG